rnacentral:rRNA from 1 species
AGAACGAACGCUGGCGGCAUGCCUAACACAUGCAAGUCGAACGCUCUUGGGGCUUCGGUUCCAAGGGAGUGGCGCACGGGUGAGUAGCGCGUGGGAACCUGCCCUGGAGUGGGGGAUAACCGAGGGAAACUUCGGCUAAUACCGCAUGCGCCCGGGAAACCGGGGAAAGAUUUAUCGCUCUAGGAGGGGCCCGCGUCGGAUUAGCUAGUUGGUGGGGUAACGGCCUACCAAGGCUUUGAUCCGUAGCUGGUCUGAGAGGAUGAUCAGCCACACUGGGACUGAGACACGGCCCAGACUCCUACGGGAGGCAGCAGUGGGGAAUAUUGGACAAUGGGCGCAAGCCUGAUCCAGCAAUGCCGCGUGAGUGAUGAAGGCCUUCGGGUUGUAAAGCUCUUUCGCACGCGAGGAUGAUGACGCUAGCGUGAGAAGAAGCCCCGGCUAACUCGUGCCAGCAGCCGC